UGCUAGCACUAUACUGCCGUGAACUCACCAAUCUCAUUUUAUUUUGGAAGCUAAGUAGGGUUGGACCUGGUUUGUGUUUGGAUGGUAGACCAGAGUCCUGUCUGAAAGCAU
rnacentral:rRNA from 1 species